rnacentral:pre_miRNA from 1 species
AAUAACUGCAGCCAUAGUUUUUCACGCCCAACUUUGAUCAUUCGUUUUAUUUGAAAUUUUUUAAAAAAAAAUUAAAAAAAUUAGUCACGAGUAAAGUACUAUUCAUGUUUUAUCAUUUUAUAACAACAAAAAUGCUAAUUAUAAAAAAAUUUCAAAUAAGACGAACGAUCAAAGUUGGGCACGAAAACUCAUGGCUGCACUUAAU